AAACUCAAAGGAAUUGACGGGGACCCGCACAAGCGGUGGAUGAUGUGGUUUAAUUCGAUGCAACGCGAAAAACCUUACCCACCUUUGACAUGUACGGAAGUUACCAGAGAUGGUUUCGUGCUCGAAAGAGAACCGUAACACAGGUGCUGCAUGGCUGUCGUCAGCUCGUGUCGUGAGAUGUUGGGUUAAGUCCCGCAACGAGCGCAACCCUUGUCAUUAGUUGCUACAUUUAGUUGGGCACUCUAAUGAGACUGCCGGUGACAAGCCGGAGGAAGGUGGGGAUGACGUCAAGUCCUCAUGGCCCUUAUAGGUGGGGCUACACACGUCAUACAAUGGCUGGUACAAAGGGUUGCCAACCCGCGAGGGGGAGCUAAUCCCACAAAGCCAGUCGUAGUCCGGAUCGUAGUCUGCAACUCGACUACGUGAAGUCGGAAUCGCUAGUAAUCGUGGAUCAGAAUGUCACGGUGAAUACGUUCCCGGGUCUUGUACACACCGCCCGUCACACCAUGGGAGCGGGUUCUGCCAGAAGUAGUUAGCCUAACCGCAAGGAGGGCGAUUACCACGGCAGGGUUCGUGACUGGGGUGAAGUCGUCCCAAGGUAACCGUA
rnacentral:rRNA from 1 species